AACGAACGCUGGCGGCAGGCCUAACACAUGCAAGUCGAGCGCGCCCUUCGGGGUGAGCGGCGGACGGGUGAGUAACGCGUGGGAACGUGCCCUUUUCUACGGAAUAGCCUCGGGAAACUGAGAGUAAUACCGUAUACGCCCUUUGGGGGAAAGAUUUAUCGGAAAAGGAUCGGCCCGCGUUGGAUUAGGUAGUUGGUGGGGUAAUGGCCUACCAAGCCGACGAUCCAUAGCUGGUUUGAGAGGAUGAUCGGCCACACUGGGACUGAGACACGGCCCAGACUCCUACGGGAGGCAGCAGUGGGGAAUCUUAGACAAUGGGGGCAACCCUGAUCUAGCCAUGCCGCGUGAGUGAUGAAGGCCUUAGGGUUGUAAAGCUCUUUCAGCUGGGAAGAUAAUGACGGUACCAGCAGAAGAAGCCCCGGCUAACUCCGUG
rnacentral:rRNA from 1 species